rnacentral:rRNA from 1 species
GUUAGGAAUUUUGGGCAAUGGGGGCAACCCUGACCCAGCAACGCCGCGUGGGUGAUGAAGGCCUUCGGGUCGUAAAGCCCUUUUCCAGGGGAAGAUGAUGACGGUACCCUGGGAAGAAGCCCCGGCUAACUACGUGCCAGCAGCCGCGGUAAUACGUAGGGGGCAAGCGUUGUCCGGAUUUAUUGGGCGUAAAGCGCUCGCAGGCGGCCUGAUGCGUCGUGCGUGAAACACCCCGGCUCAACUGGGGAGGGUCGUGCGAUACGGUCAGGCUCGAGGCCAGUAGGGGGAUGCGGAAUUCCGGGUGUAGUGGUGGAAUGCGUAGAGAUCCGGAGGAACACCAGCGGCGAAGGCGGCAUCCUGGACUGGUUCUGACGCUCAGGAGCGAAAGCGUGGGGAGCGAUCCGGAUUAGAUACCCUUGUAGUCC